CCUACGGGUGGCAGCAGUGGGGAAUAUUGCACAAUGGGGGAAACCCUGAUGCAGCGACGCCGCGUGAGUGAAGAAGUAUUUCGGUACGUAAAGCUCUAUCAGCAGGGAAGAAAAUGACGGUACCUGACUAAGAAGCCCCGGCUAACUACGUGCCAGCAGCCGCGGUAAUACGUAGGGGGCAAGCGUUAUCCGGCUUUACUGGGUGUAAAGGGAGCGUAGACGGCAGCGCAAGUCUGGAGUGAAAUCCCAUGGCUUAACCAUGGAACUGCGUUGGAAACUGGGCAGCUAGAGUGCAGGAGAGGUAAGCGGAAUUCCUAGUGUAGCGGUGAAAUGCGUAGAUAUUAGGAGGAACACCAGUGGCGAAGGCGGCUUACUGGACUGUAACUGACGUUGAGGCUCGAAAGCGUGGGGAGCAAACAGGAUUAGAUACCCGUGUAGUC
rnacentral:rRNA from 1 species